CAGUAGCCGCGGGAAAACAGAGGGUGCGAGCGUUAAUCGGAUUUACUGGGCGUAAAGCGUGCGUAGGCGGCUAAUUGAGUCGGAUGUGAAAUCCCCGAGCUUAACUUGGGAAUUGCAUUCGAUACUGGUUAGCUAGAGUGUGGGAGAGGAUGGUAGAAUUCCAGGUGUAGCGGUGAAAUGCGUAGAGAUCUGGAGGAAUACCGAUGGCGAAGGCAGCCAUCUGGCCUAACACUGACGCUGAGGUACGAAAGCAUGGGGAGCAAACAGGAUUAGAGACCCCUGUAGUCCCUGUCUCUUAUAC
rnacentral:rRNA from 1 species